AGAGGAUGCUGUUUUUUUUUUGUUGUUGCUAUUGUUUAGAAGGUUUGAGAGAUCAGAUCUGUUUACUAAAAAGAUUAAUUUGGUGAUUUUGUGGGGCUAGCUUGGAGAAGAAGAGAGAUUAGAAAUAUUGAAGAAAGAAAAUAUUGGAGUCAUAUGACCAAUUUUAAGGCUCUGACAAUAUUCUGAGUGAGAGAAUAAAGGAAGAAAAAGAGAAGAAGAAAACAAAGAGAAAGAGAUACAGGCCCAGUGAUGAGGACAGAGGCAAGGGCAGUUCAUUUUACAGGAGUGUCUUCCUAUUGCUAUUGAUGAAUACAGCAGCUGGAGGGAGUAGGAACGAGGAUGAGGUGGCAGAAAUUAAGAGGAAGGAAAAAAAUCAUUUUCAAAAUGAUAAUGUGAGUGAUGAGUAAUAGGUAAACAAAUAUGACAUUUGGCAUUUGUACCAAUAGUAUUCUGUCUGUAAGCCCUUUCAUCUUUUUCUCUAGAUGUAGGCCAUCAGUUUUACACUAUAAUGCCCUUCUAGAUUUUAGAUAGGUUUUUUUGGUAACAGAAGUAAUAACUUCUUGAAUCAAUCAAUCAAUAAAUAGUGCUGAGUACAUAAUAAUUGUCUAAUA
rnacentral:lncRNA from 1 species